GAUGAACGCUGGCGGCGUGCCUAACACAUGCAAGUCGAAUGGAGAUAUUACGGAUGAAGGAUUCGUCUGAAUUCUGUUUUAUCUUAGUGGCGGACGGGUGAGUAACGCGUGGAGAACCUGCCUCUUUCCGGGGGAUAGCAGUUGGAAACGACUGGUAAUACCUCAUAAUGCUUUUGAGUCACAUGUCUUGAAAGCCAAAGAUUUAUCGGCUAAGGAUGGGCCUGCGUCUGAUUAACUAGUUGGUGGGGUAACGGCUCACCAAGGUGACGAUCAGUAGCCGACCUGAGAGGGUGAUCGGCCACAUUGGAACUGAGACACGGUCCAAACUUC
rnacentral:rRNA from 1 species